rnacentral:rRNA from 1 species
AUGACGGUGGUCGACGCCGAGACCCGGUUCCACGUCCUGGCGGUGGACGACAGCGUCAUCGACCGGAAGCUCAUCGAGAUGCUGCUCAGGACCUCCUCCUACCAAGUCACCACGGUGGACUCCGGGAGCAAGGCGCUGGAGGUCCUGGGACUUAGAGACGAGGGGGACGACUCCUCCUCCUCCUCCUCACCCCCUUCCUCCUCCGCCCCUGACCACCACCAGGAGGUGGGCGUGAAUUUGAUCAUCACUGACUACUGCAUGCCUGGCAUGACAGGAUACGAUCUGCUGAGGAGGGUCAAGGGGUCAUCUUCAUUGAAGGACAUUCCAGUGGUGAUCAUGUCGUCUGAGAAUGUGCCUGCCAGGAUCAGCAGGUGCUUGGAGGACGGCGCGGAGGAGUUCUUCCUCAAGCCCGUGAAGCUCGCUGACAUGAAGAAGCUCAAGUCGCACCUGGUCCGGCGGAAGCAGCCCCAGCUCCAGCCGCAGACACAUGAGAAGCCACAGCCGCAACCACAGCAGCAGCAACAGAAACCACAGCCAGAGCAGCAGCUGAAGGCAGAGCAAGCGCCAGCCGAGCCGGCGGCGGAGGAGGAGGCAGUGACGGCCGGCGGAAUCACGGGUGACUGCGGCGGCGGCAGCAGGAAGCGGAAGGCGGCGAUGAUGGAGCAGGACGGGGCGAGCACGAGCCUCUCCAGCGGCAGCAGCGGCCUGGCGGUGGAGACCUGA